GACGAACGCUGGCGGCGUGCUUAACACAUGCAAGUCGAACGGAAAGGCCCUGCUUUUGUGGGGUGCUCGAGUGGCGAACGGGUGAGUAACACGUGAGUAACCUGCCCUUGACUUUGGGAUAACUUCAGGAAACUGGGGCUAAUACCGGAUAGGAGCUCCUGCUGCAUGUUGGGGGUUGGAAAGUUUCGGCGGUUGGGGAUGUACUCGCGGCUUAUCCGCUUGUUGGUGGGGUAGUGGCUUACCAAGGCUUUGACGGGUAGCCGGCCUGAGAGGGUGACCGGCCACAUUGGGACUGAGAUACGGCGCAGACUCCUACGGGAGGCAGCAGUGGGGAAUAUUGCAGAAUGGGCGGAAGCCUGAUGCAGCAACGCCGCGUGCGGGAUGACGGCCUUCGGGUUGUAAACCGCUUUCGCCUGUGACGAAGCGUGAGUGACGGUAAUGGGUAAAGAAGCACCGGCUAACUACGUG
rnacentral:rRNA from 1 species